CGCUGGCGGCGUGCCUAACACAUGCAAGUCGAGGGGGAAAGGGCACUUCGGUGCCCGAGUACACCGGCAGACGGGUGAGUAACGCGUGGGUAACCUACCUUGGGGUCUGGGAUAACCACCCGAAAGGGUGGCUAAUACCGGAUACGUUCCUGAGGCGCGAGCCGAGGGAAGAAAGGGUGCCACUGCAUAGCAAGCACCUGCCCCAAGAGGGGCCNCGCGUCCCAUCAGCUAGUUGGUGAGGUAAGGGCUCACCAAGGCGACGACGGGUAGCCGGCCUGAGAGGGUGGUCGGCCACACUGGCACUGAGACACGGGCCAGACUCCUACGGGAGGCAGCAGUGGGGAAUCUUGGGCAAUGGCCGAGAGGCUGACCCAGCGACGCCGCGUGGGGGAAGAAGGCCUUCGAGUCGUAAACCCCUGUCAGGGAGGAAGAAGGCUUACGGGUUAAUAGCCCGUGGAGUUUGACGGUACUCCCAGAGGAAGCCACGGCUAACUCCGUGCCAGCAGCCGCGGUAAUCCGGAGGUGGCGAGCGUUGCCCGGAAUCACUGGGCGUAAAGGGGGCGUAGGCGGCCGGACAAGUCGGACGUGAAAGCCCGGGGCUCAACCCCGGAGUUGCGUUCGAAACUGUUUGGCUUGAGGUCCGGAGAGGCCGGCGGAGUUCCCGGUGUAGGGGUGAAAUCCGUAGAUAUCGGGAGGAACACCGGUGGCGAAGGCGGCCGGCUGGACGGCACCUGACGCUGAGGCCCGAAAGCGUGGGGAGCAAACCGGAUUAGAUACCCGGGUAGUCCACGCCGUAAACGAUGGGUGCUAGGUGUGGGGGGUUAAACCUUCCGUGCCGAAGCUAACGCAAUAAGCACCCCGCCUGGGGAGUACGGCCGCAAGGCUGAAACUCAAAGGAAUUGACGGGGACCCGCACAAGCAGCGGAGCAUGUGGUUUAAUUCGAAGCAACGCGAAGAACCUUACCAAAUCUUGACAUCCUUUUGACCAUCAUUUAAUCAUGAUCUUACCUUCGGGUACAGAAGUGACAGGUGGUGCAUGGUUGUCGUCAGCUCGUGUCGUGAGAUGUUGGGUUAAGUCCCGCAACGAGCGCAACCCUUAUCUUUAGUUGUCAUCAGGUAAUGCUGGACCUUCUAGAGAGACUGCCGGUGAUAAACCGGAGGAAGGUGGGGAUGACGUCAAAUCAUCAUGCCCCUUAUGAUUUGGGCUACACACGUGCUACAAUGGUCGGUACAACAGGCAGUGAAAGGGUAACCUGGAACGAAUCCUCUAAAGCCGAUCUCAGUUCGGAUUGUGGGCUGCAACUCGCCCACAUGAAGUUGGAGUUGCUAGUAAUCGUGGAUCAGAAUGCCGCGGUGAAUGCGUUCCCGGGUCUUGUACACACCGCCCGUCACACCAUGGAAGUUGGGGGCGCCCGAAGUCAGUGAUCCAACCCGUAAGGGAGGAAACUGCCGAAGGGUGAAACCAAUACUAGGG
rnacentral:rRNA from 1 species